UGGGGAAUUUUGGACAAUGGGCGCAAGCCUGAUCCAGCCAUGCCGCGUGAGUGAAGAAGGCCUUCGGGUUGUAAAGCUCUUUCGGCGGGGACGAAACGGUUCGUGACAACACCACGGACUAAUGACGGUACCCGCAUAAGAAGCACCGGCUAACUACGUGCCAGCAGCCGCGGUAAUACGUAGGGUGCAGGCGUUAAUCGGAAUUACUGGGCGUAAAGGGUGCGCAGGCGGUUUGUUAAGACAGGUGUGAAAUCCCCGGGCUUAACCUGGGAAUUGCGCUUGUAACUGGCAGGCUAGAGUGUGGCAGAGGGGGGUGGAAUUCCACGUGUAGCAGUGAAAUGCGUAGAUAUGUGGAGGAACACCGAUGGCGAAGGCAGCCCCCUGGGUUAACACUGACGCUCAUGCACGAAAGCGUGGGGAGCAAACAGGAUUAGAUACCCAAGUAGUCCCUGAGCGGGCUGGCAAGGCGCAU
rnacentral:rRNA from 1 species